GACGUAGGUGGCGAGCGUUAUCCGGAUUUACUGGGCGUAAAGCGCGUGCAGGUGGUUUGAUAAGUCGGGCGUGAAAUCUUCUGGCUCAACUGGGAGAGGCCGUCCGAUACUAUCAGACUUGAGGGCAGUAGAGGGAGGUGGAAUUCCGGGUGUAGUGGUGAAAUGCGUAGAUAUCCGGAGGAACACCGGUGGCGAAGGCGGCCUCCUGGACUGCCCCUGACACUCAGACGCGAAAGCUAGGGGAGCGAACGGG
rnacentral:rRNA from 1 species